UAUAACCCCAGACUCCGGUUGUUAAAAACGGUCUGGGUUUAUCAGACAGUUCGUUUUCGAAACAGGAAGCUAUUUCUAUCAGCCGGAGACAAGAGUUUGGAACUAAAUAAUAAUCUGGUUGUACCAGAAGUAACGGCCCCAACCCCUCAUCAGUUAUCUCCCACAUGCAGAGCAGCACUCGUGUGUUUUUUUUUUUGUUUUCUUACUUCUAUAAGUACCCUACCAGAAAUCCAGAGGUCUUCACACUAGUGACUUCAAACCAGAGCGAUGACCCCUCAAAGAGAACACGUUUUUGACUUGAUCGACAAUGGGCUUCAUUCAACCGAAUAUCAACUUGAAGAUUUGUACUCAGGCGAGGAAAUAGGUUCUACAAGGGAGAAUGGCAUUCCAUCAGCGCAGGUUGUAGAUCUCACAGGAGAAGUCG